GGCAAGCAACUUACCCUUCGGGCGAGCGCCUUUUUAUCCCGCUCAGAGGAGCAUUGUCAUUGCUCAUGAAAAUUUCUGAGGCCUCAGAAGGUGGUUGAUAAUUAAUCUUCGAAAUGAGGCGCUUACCAGUUUGUUCACUCGGGCCAACGUGUGGAUUUCCCUCUGAAGCAGCGGCAUGUGCGUUCUGAGGAACGGCAACACGAAAGGCCUCAGAGGAAAAUUCGUGACGUCUUGCAGCGAGUGGUGGAAUUCUUCUAUGCUCAAAUUCGAACUCUAGAAACAUGGUCAUGAACCAGACUUUUGACUCUCUCCCCCACAUCUGAGCUGAUGUCGCUUCCGAACUGCACCAAAGUGCUCAGGAACUUCUUCACCUUGGUCAGCUGCCUGCCAGUUGGAUAGCCGCCCAAACUGCCAUAAGGGAUGUCCGAAAAGGACCUGGGGGUUUCCAGGGAAAGCGCCUGGAAGGAAAAUUUACGCUCAUUUCCCGCGGACAAUCCAGUCAACAAGUACGCUACUGUCCUCGGACACUCUGGAAAGGUAAAAAGCGACCGCAAACGAAUGUCGGACGGAAAAAAUCCAAUUCAAGUUUCGUGUCUGGACCUGACAAAAAGAAAGGGCGGCAAGAAGGGCCUGUUCCUGAACGACAAGGUUGCCGGCGCUUAUUUUUCCAGAGGGCCCUCCAGUUUUUCUGCAGACCUGGAGAGCGCGUGCAACUGACUGCGCCACCGAAUUACGAAAAACGGAUUUGUUUUCUGGUUCCGGCGAUAAAUCCACUUUUGGGCGUGGAAUGGAUGGGGAAAUACUUACGGUAGCAGCUGGAAGUGGAGGAGGCGGUGUGAGGCUGUCGGCGUUGCAAUUGGUCGGAGGCGAUGCAACGCUUCUAAGUGGAGGUGAAGACUGCGAAGAAAGAAAUUAAAUUCCAGAGAAAACAGCUCCCUGGCAAAGAGAAUCAAUCGGGAACAGAAGCUGGAGCAAAACCCCAGCAUGGCGUACAGUGGGGAACGAUAGAGAUUGAUGUGGAACAUGCCGGCGAUAAUUAAACUACCAGGAAGUUUAUGCGAUUUAGGAAACUGAAAUAUGCGUUGCUGCAGUGGGAAAGUUGAAAAAAACACUCGAUGUGUAGAAUGCUGGUUUUUGUCUCCAAAUCUCCAAAAUUGUGCAAAAAUGGCAGAAAAGGGACAAAUUUACUUCUGGCACUUGCCCCAAAAUGGUGGCAAGUCCCAAUAUCGAAUCCAGACCAAAUCCGGAUUUAUCCCAAGGAAAGUUGGCUUGCGGUCCACUGGGACUCGCCCUGGUGCUUGAUGGAAAACGUCAGAAGCACGUGUUUACCCCGAAGGAAUUUCGACUUUAUAUUUGAAUUAUAUUAAAUAGCGCGAGUGUACGUACUUCCAGAGCACCUGUUCGCAGGAAAUAGGAGCCCUUUUAUAUAAAAUAAUUCGUGUUUGCCGAAAAUAAUCGACAACGUUAAUGGCA